rnacentral:rRNA from 2 species
CAUCGCUCCUCGAUGAAACUACAUGAGGAGUCCUGCCUGCCCAGUGACUAAAGUUAAACGGCCGCGGUAUCUUGACCGUGCAAAGGUAGCAUAAUCACUUGUCUCCUAAAUAGAGACUGGUAUGAAUGGCAAGACGGAGCUAAACUGUCUCUUUUUUUAAUCUUGAAAUUUACUUCCCCGUGAAGAGGCGUGGAUAAAAUCGCUAGACGAGAAGACCCUGUCGAGCUUAAAGCAAAAAAGAGGACAUCUUUAUAGUUAGACAAUACUAAUCUAUGUAAUUACAAAAGUUUAACUUUAACGUUUCUCUACAGAGCUUUGGUUGGGGCAACCGCGGAAAAAGAAAAACUUCCGCUUACAAAUAAUUAAAUAAAGGAAAACAAUCCUGUUAUCAGAAAUGAGAAUAGAUCCACUUAGGUGAUCAAAGGAACAAGUUACCGCAGGGAUAACAGCGUUAUCUUUUUUGAGAGUUCACAUUGACAAAAAGGUUUGCGACCUCGAUGUUGGAUCGGGACAUCCUAAGGGUGCAGAAGCUCUUAAGGGUUGGUCUGUUCGACCAUUAAAGUCCUAC